AUUGAACGCUGGCGGCAUGCCUUACACAUGCAAGUCGAACGGUAACAGGUCUUCGGAUGCUGACGAGUGGCGAACGGGUGAGUAAUACAUCGGAACGUGCCUAGUAGUGGGGGAUAACUACUCGAAAGAGUGGCUAAUACCACAUGAGAUCUACGGAUGAAAGCAGGGGAUCGCAAGACCUUGUGCUACUAGCGCGGCCGAUGGCAGAUUAGGUAGUUGGUGGGAUAAAAGCUUACCAAGCCGACGAUCUGUAGCUGGUCUGAGAGGACGAUCAGCCACACUGGGACUGAGACACGGCCCAGACUCCUACGGGAGGCAGCAGUGGGGAAUUUUGGGCAAUGGGCGAAAGCCUGAUCCAGCAAUGCCGCGUGCAGGAUGAAGGCCUUCGGGUUGUAAACUGCUUUUGUACGGAACGAAAAGCCCCGGGUUAAUACCCUGGGGUCAUGACGGUACCGUAAGAAUAAGCACCGGCUAACUACGUGCCAGCAGCCGCGGUAA
rnacentral:rRNA from 1 species